GAUUCAGGCAUAUUGCCUCAUGAGCUAUAUACUGCCUCAAAAUGCAUUACUGAGAUAAGUAGUUAAUGACAUAUUAACUUUCCCUCCAACGCAAUAAAAUAACAACUGUCCGUUUGAAAUGUUAUAAGCAUUUCUCUUUAUUGAAUGCUAGUGGUGGAUAAACAGAUUUGAAGGAAGUCAAUGCUCAAAUGGCUUAUCUCUAUUAAUAGAUGGUUAUUGCAAUACUUUCAAACCUGUAAACGUUCUUAGUCUUUGCUUUCCUAAAAGAAAUUGGAGUGGGAGCCUGCGUGUGUGUGUGUGCAUGCGUGUGUGCAGAACUCAGCAACUACAGGAUGCUGACAUGACUGUGGGUCUGUCUUCCCCAUCCACAGCACAGGUCCUUGUUUUUGUUGGACCUUGUACUUCUUCAGAGAAAGUCACCUUAGUCUCUCAUUUGCAGGCAGGGUAUCUCAGACACAUCACCCUGUGUGUCCACUAUGCUUAUUCCCUAGGUGAAUAGUCUCUGCAUGAGAAAAUGUCCCCUCUGGGAGCUGGUAACUGGCAAAUAACAGAGUCCCCAGAUUGCUUGCCAGAAUAGGUGUGGAUUUACUUAUGGCGUGAAGGACCAGCCCUGGGACAGGAAGCAGACCAGUGACCCAGCCUGUUCCAGAAGAAACACUCAACAUGGAGGUCCUUCUCCUGGUUAGAUCCCACCCUAGCAGUAUCUGGAUGCCUUUUUUUCCCCUUACCCAUCAUUUACAUUGUAGUUAGAACCCCCUCCCAAGCAAAACAGGGUUUGUACAUUAAAAGAAGUGAAGCCAGAAAUUCAUCUAUGUCUUACACUACCGGAGCUAGGCUUUCAGAAAAACAACAACUACUUCACAUAAAUGAGCCACUAGGAGAGUUAUGCCCCUGGGAGAGGUUUAACCCUGCACAUCAUCUUUUAUACUUGCGGUACUUCCUUGCAGACACAAAGAAAGCGAUGAAUCUGAUGGUCACCUCUGUGCUGCUCAUAUAUCUGUGCUGCACGCAUGCUGCUGAGACCAGGUGCAAAAUCUGUCCUCCCAGGCAUAUUUCACACUUUUUUAUACACAUCUGUCUGCCUAUAGUUCACAGUGGGGAAUGAUAUCUACCUGAGUGAGUCUGGUACUGCACUUCUUAUCAGUCAGACACUGAUAUGUGGCGAGCUCCUCUCUCUUAAGUUCUUCUUGCUCUUCUUCUGCCAAGGUGGAACGGGGCUGCAUGGGCCCACCAGUGGCUCUGGUCUGCUAGCAGGGAUCUGGACCACUCUGGGCUGUGUGGAGUAUCUGCAGCAGCUGCUGCAAGGAGACCUGGGCAGGCAUUGGUGUGGGGCUUCCCUAGCCUUACAAAUCCACCUACACUCACAGCUCCCACAGGGACACACCCUCAGGCUUUCAACCAGUCCUGAUUUGUUUGACACCUCAGCUCAACAUGACAGAAUUGCUGUACAGCACUUCAGGAUACAUUUAUACUGGAGCAACAAAUAUUCUGUGUUUAUUCAGGAAUGGCCUGUGGGCAUCGGACACUGGGGGUAAGAAGCCCUUCUCUUCAAACAGGGGCAGAUAGACCACGGCUUGAGAUGAUGAGAGUAUGUUUGGGUGUUGGCCCAUCACCUGUGGGAAAUCUUGCAGUGGCUGUUGAAGAGAGAGUCUCUGCUGACUGCCUGUUCUGCCCCUUAGCCAGAGGUCCUCACUGUCCUGGAGUCAGUGAAAGGAAGUCUCCUUCCAUGGGAUCCAGUGUCUGAGCUCAAAUCACUGAUGAAGCUGCUUCAGUCUAAGAUUUUUACCUGAGACAGUAGCAGGUGUGGACCUCUGCCACUCCUGCCACAGGAAGAGCAAACGGGUAGAAGCUGAUGAAUCACCAGAAGGCUGAGGACCAAAAUCUCUUUCAACCACUAUAUCAAGGUUCACCUCCAUGUUUCUGGAGAGAUACUGUCCAUCCCAGGCAUAAUGCCUAUGAGGAAUCUACCUUGUUGACAGUAACUCUAGUUUUCCAUGGUAUCUGCUUUGAUUUCUCACUGGCAUUGCAAAGCAACAAGUAAUGAACUUCACUUACCUCUACCUUGCCCUCUCUCUUCCUUUUAUGCUUGUGGCUUUUCUAGCAGUAGCUGCCUAUGUACACUUUCCACCAUCCAAAUAAAUUGCACAUUUGGGCAUGAUGUGAAAUGUCUCUCUCAAUCACCUUUUUGCUGCAUUUAUCCCCAUAAAUAUAAAUUGCUAAAAGAGCAGAUGGCCUGGAUACGUAAACUUUAUUAUAGGUAACAGAAGAGGGGCUGUAGCAGAUGAGAACACGCUGUGCUCAUGUUUUUUCUGUAAGUGACCCAGUGGUACCUUUAAAAUAGGAAGAGGAAAGGUCUGGCUUGUACUGGAAAAGCUGAGACAGCCCGGAGGUUUAGGUGUAAUUUGCGCCAUCAGGCGCAACAUAUAGUAAUCUUGCUUGAUGAUGUUUUAUGCCUGCUCUGAUUCUCAUCUGUGAAUAAUGGAAGAUGGCACUGCCAGAGGAGAAAGGACAACUUGUGCUAUUAACUCUGCUCUACUGUCAAUUUCUUCCUAUCUUAUUCUCCUUUCUUUUCUCUUAUCAAGCCCCUUUCUUUUUUUUUCGUCUCAGUUGUUUGUGAAAUAUAAAGAAAGGAUACUUACAUAUUUUCCUCUCCAUUACGAGCACUCCAGUUGCCAGAUCUGUGUGUCCAUGAGCCAACGUGUGUGUUGUGUUCAAGGGCUGUUAAACGUCACGUAACCGAACCAGAAUAUUUCAGUCUUGUGGCACUGACAAGCUCCACUCAUGUGUAACGCAUGCCUUUCCUUAGCUCAAAAGAGAUGUUGUUUCCCUUGACGGAUCCACCUCUGGAUUCCUGGAAAUAAAGUUGGGUAAAAUUG